UACGAAGGGGACUAACGUUGUUCGGAUUUACUGGGCGUAAAGCGCGCGUAGGCGGAUCGCUAAGUCAGGGGUGAAAUCCCAGGGCUCAACCCUGGAACUGCCUUUGAUACUGACGAUCUGGAGAUCGGGAGAGGUUGGUGGAAUUCCGAGUGUAGAGGUGAAAUUCGUAGAUAUUCGGAGGAACACCAGAAGCGAAGGCGGCCAACUGGCCCGAUACUGACGCUGAGGCGCGAAAGCGUGGGGAGCAAACAGG
rnacentral:rRNA from 1 species